GCAGCUCUUCGAGAUCAGCCUGAGCCACGGCCGCGUCGUCUACAGCCCCGGGGAGCCGUUGGCUGGGACCGUGCGCGUGCGCCUGGGGGCCCCGCUGCCGUUCCGAGCCAUCCGGGUGACCUGCACAGGUUCCUGCGGGGUCUCCAACAAGGCUAAUGACACAGCGUGGGUAGUGGAGGAGGGUUACUUCAACAGUUCCCUGUCGCUGGCAGACAAGGGGAGCCUGCCCGCUGGAGAGCACAGCUUCCCCUUCCAGUUCCUGCUUCCUGCCACCGCACCCACGUCCUUUGAGGGUCCUUUCGGGAAGAUCGUGCACCAGGUGAGGGCCGCCAUCCACACGCCACGGUUUUCCAAGGAUCACAAGUGCAGCCUCGUGUUCUAUAUCUUGAGCCCCUUGAACCUGAACAGCAUCCCAGACAUUGAGGUGAGGAUGGCACAGUGACCUCCUUGGUGGGUCCCCACCCUCAUGGAGGCUGGGGAAGAGCUGGGCAGGCACUGCUUCAUCCCAGUGUCCUGUCCCCAGGUGAGGUGAGGGGGGCCAGGGUCUGGAGGCAGUGGCCUCUUUGCCCUGAGCUGACUGCUGAUGUCCAGGGGCAGGGCGUGGCAGGGCUGAGGGGCCUGUCCCAAUGCCACAGGGAUCCAGCCUGCCCACACCUGCUAAGCCCCUCCCUGGCCCUCCCCCCAAGCAACCCAACGUGGCCUCUGCCACCAAGAAGUUCUCCUACAAGCUGGUGAAGACGGGCAGCGUGGUCCUCACAGCCAGCACUGAUCUCCGCGGCUAUGUGGUGGGGCAGGCACUGCAGCUGCAUGCCGACAUUGAGAACCAGUCAGGCAAGGACACCAGCCCUGUCGUGGCCAGUCUGCUG
rnacentral:sRNA from 1 species